AUACGUAGGUGGCAAGCGUUGUCCGGAAUUAUUGGGCGUAAAGCGCAUGUAGGCGGUUUGGUAAGUCGGUCGUGAAAAUGCGGUGCUUAACGCCGUAUGGCGAUUGAAACUGCUGAACUUGAGUGCAGGAGAGGAAAGGGGAACUCCCAGUGUAGCGGUGAAAUGCGUAGAUAUUGGGAAGAACACCGGUGGCGAAGGCGCCUUUCUGGACUGUGUCUGACGCUCAGAUGCGAAAGCCAGGGUAGUGAACGGGAUUAGAUACCCCGGUAGUCCUGGCCGUAAACGAUGGGUACGAGGUGUGGGAGGUAUCGACUCCUUCCGUGCCGGAGUUAACGCAAUAAGUACCCCGCCUGGGGAGUACGGCCGCAAGGCUUAAACUCAAAUGAAUUGACGGGG
rnacentral:rRNA from 1 species